rnacentral:rRNA from 1 species
GAUGAACGCUGGCGGCGUGCCUAAUACAUGCAAGUCGAGCGAACAGAUAAGGAGCUUGCUCCUUUGAAGUUAGCGGCGGACGGGUGAGUAACACGUGGGUAACCUACCUAUAAGACUGGGAUAACUUCGGGAAACCGGAGCUAAUACCGGAUAACAUUUAGAACCGCAUGGCUCUAAAGUGAAAGAUGGUUUUGCUAUCACUUAUAGAUGGACCCGCGCCGUAUUAGCUAGUUGGUAAGGUAACGGCUUACCAAGGCGACGAUACGUAGCCGACCUGAGAGGGUGAUCGGCCACACUGGAACUGAGACACGGUCCAGACUCCUACGGGAGGCAGCAGUAGGGAAUCUUCCGCAAUGGGCGAAAGCCUGACGGAGCAACGCCGCGUGAGUGAUGAAGGGUUUCGGCUCGUAAAACUCUGUUAUUAGGGAAGAACAAAUGUGUAAGUAACUGUGCACAUCUUGACGGUACCUAAUCAGAAAGCCACGGCUAACUACGUGCCAGCAGCCGCGGUAAUACGUAGGUGGCAAGCGUUAUCCGGAAUUAUUGGGCGUAAAGCGCGCGUAGGCGGUUUCUUAAGUCUGAUGUGAAAGCCCACGGCUCAACCGUGGAGGGUCAUUGGAAACUGGGAAACUUGAGUGCAGAAGAGGAAAGUGGAAUUCCAUGUGUAGCGGUGAAAUGCGCAGAGAUAUGGAGGAACACCAGUGGCGAAGGCGACUUUCUGGUCUGUAACUGACGCUGAUGUGCGAAAGCGUGGGGAUCAAACAGGAUUAGAUACCCUGGUAGUCCACGCCGUAAACGAUGAGUGCUAAGUGUUAGGGGGUUUCCGCCCCUUAGUGCUGCAGCUAACGCAUUAAGCACUCCGCCUGGGGAGUACGACCGCAAGGUUGAAACUCAAAGGAAUUGACGGGGACCCGCACAAGCGGUGGAGCAUGUGGUUUAAUUCGAAGCAACGCGAAGAACCUUACCAAAUCUUGACAUCCUUUGAAAACUCUAGAGAUAGAGCCUUCCCCUUCGGGGGACAAAGUGACAGGUGGUGCAUGGUUGUCGUCAGCUCGUGUCGUGAGAUGUUGGGUUAAGUCCCGCAACGAGCGCAACCCUUAAGCUUAGUUGCCAUCAUUAAGUUGGGCACUCUAGGUUGACUGCCGGUGACAAACCGGAGGAAGGUGGGGAUGACGUCAAAUCAUCAUGCCCCUUAUGAUUUGGGCUACACACGUGCUACAAUGGACAAUACAAAGGGCAGCUAAACCGCGAGGUCAUGCAAAUCCCAUAAAGUUGUUCUCAGUUCGGAUUGUAGUCUGCAACUCGACUACAUGAAGCUGGAAUCGCUAGUGAUCGUAGAUCAGCAUGCUACGGUGAAUACGUUCCCGGGUCU